UCAUUGAAGAAGACGAUGAGAAGCAGCUUUUGCUUUGCACACCCGAUUUUGGGUCUGUAGCUCAGUUGGUUAGAGCGCACCCCUGAUAAGGGUGAGGUCGGCAGUUCGAAUCUGCCCAGACCCACCAGUUACCUGGUGAAGUUGGUCAGAGCGCGUACGACACCCGGAUACGGGGCCAUAGCUCAGCUGGGAGAGCGCCUGCCUUGCACGCAGGAGGUCAGCGGUUCGAUCCCGCUUGGCUCCACCACUUACUGCUUCUGUUUGAAAGCUUAGAAAUGAGCAUUCCAUCCUGAUUGAAGGGUGCGUGAAUGUUGAUUUCUAGUCUUUGAUUAGAUCGUUCUUUAAAAAUUUGGGUAUGUGAUAGAAAGAAAUAUAGACCGGGCACCUCUUUCACUGGUGCGUGUCCGGGCUAAGGUAAAGUUUGUGAAAUGCAAACUUUCGGCGAAUGUCG
rnacentral:tRNA from 1 species